CGCGUUCGAGUCAUCGAAGGCCGACAGUUGCCGGGCAUCAACAUCAAACCGGUCGUCAAGGUUACUGUUGGUGGGCAGUCCAAGAGGACUYGCAUCAGGAAAGGAAACAACCCCGUGUUUGAUGAGACUUUCUUUCUGAACUUCUUCGAGACUCCGUCAGACCUCUUCGAUGAGCCCAUCUUCAUUACUGUUUUUAACUCUAUGUCGCUGCGAACUGACUCAGUGAUCGGAGAAUUCAAGCUCGAUGUCGGCACGGUCUACAACGAGAGCAGACACGCCUUCUUGAGGAAGUGGCUCCUCCUCUCUGACCCUGACGACCUCUCGGCCGGGGCCAAAGGUUACCUGAAGGUCAGCCUCUUCGUAUUGGCUGCAGGCGACGAAGCUCCAGUGGAUAAAGAAGGAGGGAGUGGUGGAUAAGGAGGAUAUAGAGGGGAACCUGUUGCGUCCUGCUGGACUCACACUCAGAGGAGCUAUCUUCACACUCAAAUAUUCAGAGCUGAGGACCUGCCUCAGAUGGACGAUGCUUUAUGGAUGGGAUGAGACAGGUCCUGGGAUUCGACAGCAACAGGAAGAACCUGGUCGACCCUUAGUUUGAGUCAACUUCGCUGAGG